GACGGAGGGUGCAAGCGUUGUUCGGAAUUACUGGGCGUAAAGGGUUCGUAGGUGGCUUGCUAAGUCAGACGUGAAAUCCCUCAGCUUAACUGGGGAACUGCGUCUGAGACUGGUGAGCUUGAGUGCAGGAGAGGAACGCGGAAUUCCAGGUGUAGCGGUGAAAUGCGUAGAUAUCUGGAGGAACACCGGUGGCGAAGGCGGCGUUCUGGACUGCUACUGACACUGAGGAACGAAAGCCAGGGGAGCAAACGGG
rnacentral:rRNA from 1 species